GUGCAGCAGCCGCGGUAAUACGGAGGGGGUUAGCGUUGUUCGGAAUUACUGGGCGUAAAGCGCACGUAGGCGGAUCAGAAAGUUGGGGGUGAAAUCCCGGGGCUCAACCCCGGAACUGCCUCCGAAACUACUGGUCUAGAGUUCGAGAGGGGUGAGUGGAAUUCCGAGUGUAGAGGUGAAAUGCGUAGAUAUUCGGAGGAACACCAGUGGCGAAGGCGGCUCACAGGCUCGAUACUGACGCUGAGGUGCGAAAGUGGGGGGAGCAAACAGGAUUAGAAACCCUGGUAGUCC
rnacentral:rRNA from 1 species